UAAGACUGGAUAGGAAAAGUAAAGGCAUCUUUACUUUUUUAAAAGACCUUCUUUGAAGGUAUGCUUAAGGAGGGGCUUGCGACACAUUAUUUAGUUGGCAGGGUAAAGGCCUACCAAGACUAUGAUGUGUAGCUGGACUGAGAGGUUGAACAGCCACAUUGGGACUGAGACACGGCCCAAACUCCUACGGGAGGCAGCAGUAGGGAAUUUUCGGCAAUGGAGGAAACUCUGACCGAGCAACGCCGCGUGAACGAUGAAGUACCUCGGUAUGUAAAGUUCUUUUAUUAAGGAAGAAAAAAGAGUGGAAAAACUCCCUUGACGGAACUUAAUGAAUAAGCCCCGGCUAAUUAUGUGCCAGCACCCGCGGUAAUACAUAAGGGGCGAGCGUUAUCCGGAAUUAUUGGGCGUAAAGGGUGCGUAGGCGGCUUAAUAAGUCUAUAGUUUAAUUUCAGCGCUUAACGCUGUUGUGCUAUAGAAACUGUUUUACUAGAGUGAGUUAGAGGCAAGCGGAAUUCCAUGUGUAGCGGUAAAAUGCAUAAAUAUAUGGAGGAACACCAAAGGCGUAGGCGGCUUGCUGGGACUUUACUGACCCUGAGGCACGAAAGCGUGGGGAGCAAACAGGAUUACAUACCCUGGUAGUCCACGCCGUAAACGAUGAGUACUAAGUGUCGGGUAAAACCGGUACUGAAGUUAACACAUUAAGUACUCCGCCUGAGUAGUACGUACGCAAGUAUGAAACUUAAAGGAAUUGACGGGACUCCGCACAAGCGGUGGAUCAUGUUGUUUAAUUCGAAGAUACACGAAAAACCUUACCAGGUCUUGACAUUUUCUUGCGAAGUUAUAGAAAUAUAAUGGAGGUUAUCAAGAAAACAGGUGGUGCAUGGUUGUUGUCAUCUCGUGUCGUGAGAUGUUAGGUUAAGUCCUAAAACGAGCGCAACCCUCGUCGUUAAUUGCCAGCAUGUAAUGAUGGGGACUUUAACGAGACUGCCAAUGAAAAAUUGGAGGAAGGUGGGGAUUACGUCAAAUCAUCAUGCCCCUUAUGAUCUGGGCUACAAACGUGAUACAAUGGUUGAUACAAAGAGUAGCUGAAACGCGAGUUUUUAGCCAAUCUCACAAAAUCAAUCUCAGUUUGGAUUGAAGUCUGCAACUCGACUUCAUGAAGUUGGAAUCGCUAGUAAUCGCGAAUCAGCAUGUCGCGGUGAAUACGUUCUCGGGGUUUGU
rnacentral:rRNA from 1 species